UACAGAGGGGGCAAGCGUUAUUCGGAAUUAUUGGGCGUAAAGGGCGCGUAGGCGGCCUGGCAAGUGGAAGGUGAAAUCCCUCGGCUUAACCGAGGAACUGCCUUCCAAACUGCUUGGCUUGAGUCCGGGAGAGGUGAGUGGAAUUCCCAGUGUAGCGGUGAAAUGCGUAGAUAUUGGGAGGAACACCAGUGGCGAAGGCGGCUCACUGGUCCGGUACUGACGCUGAGGUGCGAAAGCGUGGGGAGCAAACAGG
rnacentral:rRNA from 1 species